GUGAUGGUGGAUAUUUCAGAGAUUAAAAAAAGCCACCUACAAAACCUGCAUGCAAAAGGGAUUUUUUUUUUUUUAAACUCAUGGUUAAGCUCCUCAGGUAUAUGAGGAGCAAUACCCAAAGAAUUACGUGUGUAUACCACUCCACAACACACCAAUGCAAGGUAAAUAUUGACACAAAUACUUCACAGCUUACUUACAUUCUGAUUCUGAAAACAAAGCUACAAGUCAUCUCAUCUUUAUUAUGUGUUGUAUCUUUCUUAAAAUAUAGACUGCAAAUUGAUGAAGUUCUCAUUUUUAUUACAGAUUUUGAUACAUGGCUUUUUUGUAAUGCUAAGUAUCUAUGGAUUUACAGUCAUACUUAGGCUUAUCAGCAAUACAGAUGCAAUAUCCAUUCCCUUAAAAGUGCAGUAAGCAGAUUCUACUUAAGAGAAUUUAAUACUAAAGCAGUUUCUGUCAUACAUAACAAGACAAAAUUUUCCUUUUAUCUCUCCUAAAAUCUAAAUCUGCAUGAUUUACCAAAAAAAAAAAAAA
rnacentral:lncRNA from 1 species